AAUAAACCUCACACCAGCACACACAGCAGACGGCCACCAUCUCCCUCACAUAUACAUCACACCUCCACACCAUCACACACUACCACUCACACACACCUAUAUAACACAUACAAAGCUACCGUCAUAAGCGUAAUAUACUGUGAAAAUUGACAGAUGGACAGCAGAACUUACAAGGAACAGCAUGGCAUUACACAAUUUCGGAUGACAUGAACAAGAGAACAAGAACAUUAAGCGGUAGGGGAGGCUGACAAGUACAGCUCAUCGAUAACAUCUGGUUCUAACGAUACAACACUUCAUGCUUAUUAUCAUCAAUGCCCAUUGACGGAGAAACAUGUCUCUCUCGCCAGGAUGUCAUGUUCGGUACAUCCAUCUAGACAUCACGGUUCAUUGGAUUUGGCACAAUACCCGUCUCAGGAGACAUCUGUAGUUGGUUGUCUCAUACAUUUCUGCUAGAACUAUCUAUGAACACUGCAACAACAGAUGUAUAUAAUUAUUAUAUUCCCAGAGAUACUAUUUUUGACUUAUGGAUUUGUCAGGAAUGGGAAUAUUUCGCAUAUCAACUUGCCACCUAAGAAGAAGAUAAGUUUAUUUCAUCUGUCAACGUCUUCAUCCUAGUGAUGCCUUUCUCCUACCAAAAGAUGCCAUUUCGCCAUGGUCCCUUUAAAGGUGGAAACAGUUCUCACACUAGAUAUACAGAUAUGUAAGAUCAGACAAGGGGAGUUUAUCAAUUUGGAAGGGGUUUGCAAAUGGCAUCGAAAUUGGAAAGAAAAACAAAUGGAACAUGCAAGAGAUGAUGGUGACUGAAGACAAUUAACACAGUAGAACAAUGAAAAUGAAUACUCUUGAUAUGUUUUACCGACAUCAUGUUGAAAAAUUGAAGUACACAUUACUUAUAGCAUUAAGCAUGCCUGUAUACUUAUGAUUGGUGUAUUUUGCAUGCAUAUUAUUUUGGUUUGCAAAUAGUAGUAGUAGUAGUAGUAGUAGUAGUAGUAGUAGUAGAAGUAUUAUAUUAGUAGUAGUAGUUGUUGUUGUUGUUGUUGUAGUAGUAGUGGUAGUAGUAGUAGUAGUAGUAGUAGUAGUAGUAGUAGUAGUAGUAGUAGUAGUAGUGGUGGUGGAGGGUUUAAGCUCAUUUUGCAGUUGUGUAGCAUUAAAUAAUAGUUAGAAGUAGUUAAAUAUUCUUUUUGGUGGUGGUUUUUCUAGUAGUAGUAGUAGUAGUAGUAGUAGUAGUAGUAGUAGUAGUAGUAGUAGUAGUAUUUUGCUUUCGAUGUAUAUAUAUAUUCAAGAUAUUGCAUGGUUUGAUUUUGUAUAAGCAUAACUAGCAUGACGUAGUAAUAUAAGUAGUGUGUAUUACAAAUAAUUACCAAAAGAAUCACCCGUCGACUGCCUAUCAUCAAUCAAACAAUACAAUAAUUAGCACUUACAAAAACAUAUCAAUGCACGCCCGUUAUAUUGAAAUACCCAUUUGUAUGCAUUGUAAAUCUCUUGAUUUCCGCGACUCGUGUUGGUUUGGAGUUCCAAAUCUCGUGGAAAUUAAGUAAUAUACAACAUCAAUUUUAUUUUCUGACUUGUCCAAAGGGAGAUGUCUGGUUAUAAUCAGCUCAUUUACUAUAAGAUUAUUAACUUAACUAAUGAUUGUUCAUCUGGUAUAAGUUUUAAAGUUUAUACGUUUCGACUCAGGUAUUACACGAGAUCUAAAAAUCCAGUGACUGUAGACGUUAUCUAUGACAUAUGAACAAGCACAAAUAACAACUAUGGGUAUUUAUUCCCCGCACAUUUUAGAAAUGUAUUAACGUUAUUUAAGUACAAAAUAGAGUGUUCAUUUCCUGAGUAAACAUCAUUUUUUUAAUAUCUUCAAUAUGGAAUAUGUUGCAUCUCAAUGUAAAACAUAGCAUUAUCACUUAUGGAACAGUUUCAUUUGAAUAUAUUUGCAUGUAUUGUUAGUAUAUGUUUUCUUUAGUAGAAGUAGUUUAGCGGUAGCUAGAAGUUAGAAUCAGUGUUGGUUGCGUUUUCGUAGAAGUAGUAUACUAACAAAAUAUAACAAAGUUACUAACAGAUUUAAAUUUCUUAUCAAGUUAAACGUGCAGCAGGUUCACAGGGCAGUUGUUAACACAACGGUGGCUGUUAGAACAUGUGGGUGUUUAUACUUACACGGUAAGAACCUGAGGGCGUGCAUACUUACAAUGUACUAAAUACAUAUUAAUAAGUAGUAGUAGAAGUAGAAGUAGUAGUUUUUGUUGUUGUUGUAGUAGUAGUAGUAGUAGUAGUAGUAGUAGUAGUAGUAGUAGAAGUAGUAGUAGUAGUAGUAGUAGUAGUUGUUGUAGUAGUAGUAGUAGUAGUAGUAGUACACCGUAAUUGGGUAUUACUGCGAGUUCGUGCUGUAAUCUUUAUACACUGUGUUCUUGUUUACACUGACGAACUAUCGAGAAUAGUAAUCGCUACAAUAAGAUUCUUCAUAAAAUAUCAAAAUAUUAAUAAAAUAAAAAUUUAUAUCAAAUGCAUUCUGAGAAAAUAUUAGUUUCUGUAAAAAAUCAAAUUCUCAUUUUUAUCCAGAAUAACAAUGGUUCACAGUGUAUAUGUGCCCAGUUGUACAGUGUCUCUACGGGUGAAGUGAUGCAUGCUUUUUACACAUAUACUCGCCAUAUAGAGCUGUUUUAUUGAACUUUAGCUAUACGAUUUAAAUAAUUCCGUGAGUUUGUUACUGGUGAUGGCUUUUAGUGUCUGUGAGACUGGGUAUUUUUGCGGCUCACUACAAAAUAAAACAUUUCCGCAAAAAUGACCAGUAACAUAGUAUGUAUGCUUUUAUAUUGAUUAUUUAUUUAUUAAGCGGUAGUUCUAGUCAAUAGUUAUUUAGUAAUAUUUACCUAUGUUAAUAUGAUCAAUUAGUUGUUUUUUUCAUUUCUAAUAUAUUUGCUAUUAUAGUAUUUUCACUUUUAUGUUAUUAGUGGUGUAGUACACUAGUAGUGACCUUUCUUGUUGUCUGUAUCCUAGUACCGUGAACAAUUAUAUAUCAGACUUUUAACUUAUGUCCAGAUUGCUACAACAGAAUGAUACAAGGGAGACAAUGUAUAAAUAUGUUAAUAUGUAAUUUCAGCACGGAAGUUUACACAUGUAUUUAUAUGACGAUUCAUUUGCAAAAUGUUUUUAAAGAAAAAAAAAUAAGAAAAGAGAAGCAAUCAUUUUGCCAGUUUUCUACUUCUGCUAAUAGUUCAUGCAGGUAUGGUUAUGAAAACAUAAAAGUAGCUGCGAUUUAAUCAUGUUUGUACUUCAGAUGUAUAUAUAGUUCGUGUCUACGUCAGCAGUUAUCACAAUUUACAUGUCAAAGGUGUUAACGACCAAAGUAAUCUGUCAUUAAUAUGAGCUACAUUUAGUUAACGUGGAUAUAUAUGAUUGUUAGUCGGGCGCUGAUUUAUCGCCCUAUUGUACAUUAUAUAUCUGUGUUUAGUAUUUACAUAUCGAGGCUAGUUAGACUUUAUUUAUUAAUGUUGAUUAUUGCUUUUUAGAAUAAAUAAAGGCUUUAGAGCUACCAG